GUCGAACGCUGGCGGCAUGUCUAAGGCAUGCAAGUCGAACGAAUUGAUUGGUACUUGUACCAAGAAGAUUAGUGGCAAACGGGAGAGUAACGCAUUGGUAACCUACCCUGUACUCGUGAAUAACUCAUGGAAACGUGAGCUAACACACGAUAUAGAUGGGGGGACNCAAGUCAUUCCCAUUGAAAGAUUUAUCGGUACAGGAGGGGCCUAUGUUCUAUCAGCUAGUUGGUGGGGUAAAGGCUCACCAAGGCUAUGACGGAUACCGGGCGUGAGAGCGUGGCCCGGCUCACUGGGACUGAGACACUGCCCAGACUCCUACGGGAGGCUGCAGUCGAGAAUCUUCCACAAUGCACGAAAGUGUGAUGGAGCAAUGCCGCGUGCUAAAAGAAGGCCUGGUCGUAAUAGCUGUCUGAGGACGGAAAUUUGACGGUACCUCAGCAGAAA
rnacentral:rRNA from 1 species